GUUACAGGGACAUUAUCAAGGACUUGGGAAGUUAGGGCUUCCAUUUCUAUUUUAUCGAGACGGGAUUUUAAUUCUCUAAGUUCUUGCUUAAGGGAAUUCAUUUCCUUGCGCAAGUCAGAGACGGAAGGCUCGGUCGAUUUAUCGAACCGGUUAAAAACUUGUUUCAUGCUAAAGGGUUCUAUAGCCCUGGAAGGAGAAGGC
rnacentral:lncRNA from 1 species